GAAUAAUACUCAUCUAUCCACAAAUAUUCUUGUUGUCCUAAUUUUUAAAUCACAAACCCACAUCUAUAAUAUUUCUCUAAAAAAUGAAAACUUUCCAAAAAUAGCAUUUUUAAGAAAAUUAUUUAAAAUACAACCUAUGGAUGAAAAACUCCGAAAGAAUACCCAUCUAUCCACAAAUAGUCUAGUUAUCCUAAAUUUUAAAUCACAAACCCAAAUCUACAAUAUUUAUCUUUAAAAUCAAAACUUUCCAAAAAUAGCAGGUUUUAAGAAAAUUAUUUUAAAAUACAAAAUGUUGAUGAAAAUUUCUUAAAGAGUAUUCAUCUUUCCACAUUGAUGGUCUAGUUAUCUUAAUUUCUAAAUCACGAACCCAAAUCUACAAAAUAUCUCUAAAAAAAUGUAAAGUUUCCAAAAAUAGCAGUUUUUUAAGAAAAUUAUUU